rnacentral:rRNA from 1 species
AAUAGAUACCCAGGUAGUCCACGCCGUAAACGAUGGAUACUAGGUGUAGGGGGUAUCAACUCCCGUCUGUGCCGCAGUUAACACAAUAAGUAUCCCGCCUGGGGAGUACGGUCGCAAGAUUAAAACUCAAAGGAAUUGACGGGGGCCCGCACAAGCAGCGGAGCAUGUGGUUUAAUUCGAAGCAACGCGAAGAACCUUACCUGGACUUGACAUCCCUUGCAUAGCCUAGAGAUAGGUGAAGCCCUUCGGGGCAAGGAGACAGGUGGUGCAUGGUUGUCGUCAGCUCGUGUCGUGAGAUGUUAGGUUAAGUCCUGCAACGAGCGCAACCCUUGUUAUUAGUUGCUACCAUUAAGUUAAGCACUCUAAUGAGACUGCCUGGGUAACCAGGAGGAAGGUGGGGAUGACGUCAAAUCAUCAUGCCCCUUAUGUCCAGGGCUACACACGUGCUACAAUGGUAGGUACAAUAAGAGGCAAGACCGUGAGGUGGAGCAAAAACUUAUAAAGCCUAUCUCAGUUCGGAUUGUAGGCUGCAACUCG